GCCGGGAUAGCUCAGCUGGGAGAGCAACAGACUGAAGUCAGAUCAUUCUGCAUUCUGGAGGUCCCGUGUUCAAUCCACAGUCCUAGCA